UACGGGGGGAGCAAGCGUUGUUCGGAUUUACUGGGCGUAAAGGGCGCGUAGGCGGCGCAACAAGUCACUUGUGAAAUCUCCGGGCUUAACCCGGAGCGGCCAAGUGAUACUGUCGUGCUAGAGUGCGGAAGGGGCUACUGGAAUUCUCGGUGUAGCGGUGAAAUGCGCAGAUAUCAGGAGGAACACCGGUGGCGAAGGCGGGUCUCUGGGCCGUAACUGACGCUGAGGAGCGAAAGCAUGGGGAGCGAACAGG
rnacentral:rRNA from 1 species